UGGGGAAUCUUGCGCAAUGGGCGAAAGCCUGACGCAGCCAUGCCGCGUGAAUGAUGAGGGUCUUAGGAUUGUAAAAUCCUUUCGUGGGGGACGAUAAUGACGGUACCCCAAGAAGAAGCUCCGGCUAACUUCGUGCCAGCAGCCGCGGUAAUACGAAGGGGGCUAGCGUUGUUCGGAUUUACUGGGCGUAAAGCGCGUGUAGGCGGGUCGUUAAGUUGGGGGUGAAAUCCCGGGGCUCAACCUCGGAACUGCCUCUGAUACUGUGAGUCUCGAGACCGGAAGAGGUGAGUGGAAUUCCUAGUGUAGAGGUGAAAUUCGUAGAUAUUAGGAAGAACACCAGUGGCGAAGGCGGCUCACUGGUCCGGUUCUGACGCUGAGGUGCGAAAGCGUGGGGAGCAAACAGGAUUAGAUACCCACGUAGUCCCUGAGCGGGCUGGCAAGGCGCAU
rnacentral:rRNA from 1 species